rnacentral:rRNA from 1 species
UACGUAGGCAGCAAGCGUUGUUCGGAGUUACUGGGCGUAAAGAGUGCGUAGGCGGUGCUCCAAGUCUGUUGUGAAAUCUCCCGGCUUAACUGGGAGGGUGCGGUGGAAACUGGGGUGCUUGAGUAUGGGAGAGGUAAGCGGAAUUCCUGGUGUAGCGGUGAAAUGCGUAGAUAUCAGGAGGAACACCGGUGGCGAAGGCGGCUUUCUGGACAGAUACCGACGCUGAGGCACGAAGGCCAGGGGAGCAAACGGG